rnacentral:rRNA from 1 species
UACGUAGGUUGCAAGCGUUAUCCGGAAUUAUUGGGCGUAAAGCGUGCGCAGGCUGAUCGUUAAGUUGGAUGUUAAAUCCCUGAGCUCAACUCAGGUUUGGUGUCCAAAACUGGCAAUCUAGAGAAAGGCAGAGGUAAGUGGAAUUCUGUAUGUAGGGGUAAUAUCCGUAGAUAUACAGAGGAACACCAAAAGCGAAGGCAGCUUACUGGGCCUUUUCUGACGCUCAUGCACGAAAGCGUGGGGAGCAAACGGG